AAUUAACCUAACAAACCUAUCCGCCAGAGAACUACUAGCAACAGCUUAAAACUCAAAGGACUUGGCGGUGCUUCACAUCCCUCUAGAGGAGCCUGUUCUAUAAUCGAUAAACCCCGAUAAACCUCACCACCUCUUGCUAAUCCAGUCUAUAUACCGCCAUCUUCAGCAAACCCUUAAAAGGAAUAACAGUAAGCAAAAGUAUCUCAACAUAAAAAAGUUAGGUCAAGGUGUAACCUAUGAGGUGGGAAGCAAUGGGCUACAUUUUCUAUACAAGAACACUCCACGAAAGUUUUUAUGAAACCAAAAACUAAAGGAGGAUUUAGCAGUAAGCUGAGAAUAGAGCGCUCGGCUGAAUCGGGCCAUGAAGCACGCACACACCGCCCGUCACCCUCCUCAAGUAUUCAAACCCAAACAUAACAUAUUAAAACUACACUCAACACAAGAGGAGACAAGUCGUCAACAAGGUAAGCAUACUGGAAAGUGUGCUUGGAUCAAA
rnacentral:rRNA from 1 species